AGUGAACGCUGGCGGCGUGCCUAAUACAUGCAAGUCGAACGAGUGGCGCGCGGGCGAGUAAUGUAUAGCUAAUAUACCCUACAAUAGAGGGCAACAGUUGCAAACGGCGGCUAAUACUCUAUCGUGUAGGAUGAGGCUAUAUUGUAUCAGCUAGCUGGUGAGGUAAUGGCUCACCCAGGCUAUGACGCAUAACUGGUUUGAGAGGAUGAUCAGUAACACUGGAACUGAGACACGGUCCAGACUCCUACGGGAGGGAGCAGUAGGGAAUAUUGCUCAAUGGGGGAAACCCUGAAGCAGCAACGCCGCGUGGAGGAUGACACUUGUCGGAGCGUAAACUCCUUUUGGUAGGGAAGCGGUACCUAACGAAUAAGCACCGGCUAACUCCGUGCCAGCAGCCGCGGUAAUAC
rnacentral:rRNA from 1 species